AGUCUCGCUCUGUCACCCAGGCUGGAGUGCAAUUUCACAAAGUUAAAGUAAAACUCUUUUCUACAAGAAGGAUAGUUUGGUUUUGUUUCCUACAAUUAAUGCUUCGUCAAUCAUGGCUUUUCAUAUUUAAGGUGGUAUUAACUUACAAAAUAAGGCAAAAGAACCAUUAGGUAUGAUUGCUCCCAAAGUCCUCAUAGCAAAUGAACUCAUGAUUUCCUUACCUCCAUCUUCAUGGCGAUCAUAACCAUGAGGGAAUCUCCCGCUUUCACUUUGUCUCCAGCUUUGACAAACACCUUGAGAUUCAGUGUGACAGGUUAAUAUUUGAAAACACAGAGGUCCUAGAUAUGUUCAUCUGCUUCAUUAUAGUAACCAUUUUACUGUCUAUAUAUACUCAUAACAUCAUGUUGCAAACCAUGAAUAUAAACAAUAAAACAUAAAUAAAAAGAAAAAAAACAACACAGAGGUCCUUUGUGGUCCACAGAUUUGGUAUAUAAACUUACAGAGCAGAAGUAGAGCCCAUGUGGUUGUGCCAUCUGCCAAAUGCACUGGUCAAAUCAGAGGCCUACAGCCCAAAUAUACAGGUCAAAUC
rnacentral:lncRNA from 10 species